AUGAUUCUGGAGUGUUUGACUAGACAGCACUUGCAACUGAGCAUGUCAGGUAUGAAGGAGGUAUCUGGUCAGAGAUGGUGUUUUCUGAGGCUGCUUCCCGGAUCCCUAGGGGAUGUGUUCCUGCCAUUCAGCCUUUUUGGCAGUUAUUUCCACUUGUACAAGCAGACUUUUGUCACUUACCUGAGAAAGAAAGCCCACACCUGGAUUAAUAUUAAUAGAAAACACUCAUACAAAGAUAUUUUGUGGAAACUAAGAAGAGGAGUGUCACAUAGGAGAGCCCACUGCUGCAGUGAUGUCUUGGGUCUCUGUGCUCUGAAUCCCUGCUUGGCCAGCCUCCUGGAGGUGAGUGGUCUUGUUUUUCUCUCUUCUCUUUCCCAGCAGGCACUACCUUGACUGACUCCUCUUUCUUCUAUACUGGAGAUUACAGUUAUCCUCGCUUGAGCUUCUGCCUCCAUCUUGUUCACCCUGACCCCACGGGAUGUCAGUCUUGUGAUCCUUCAGAGUCACCCUCAUUCCUACACCAACCCCAAGCAGCUCAUCAGAGCGUAUCCCCCCAAAAACAGGGCUCUGGCUGCUCAAAGAGGAGUCCUGGCAAUUAGAGAUUUCUCCUUUUUAUUGCCUUACUCCCUGGAUCCUUACUUUUCCUCUCUGCUACAUCGGAUGGAGGGUAUUUAUCUUUGCCCGUCCACUUCUGUUCUAGCUCUUAACCUACACAGGUGCUUAAAAGCCACUUGAUUGGAUGAAUGAAUUAGAUAUUUUUCUUGCUGGAGUCUCUGUCAAGAUAGACUGAGGACCCCAAUUCCUACCUGAAAAGAACAUUUCUUGACCACUCUACCUGCCUUUCUCCCACGUCUUUGCCCUGGCUUCCUGAGGGGGCUUGUCUUAUCUAGACCUGAGGGGAAAAGGACAGAAAGAGAGUGAUUGGAAGGAUUAUUUUCUGAACAAUUCCCCUGCCUAGGAACCAAAGGAUGUGAGGUAGCAGGAGGGAGUCAUGAUCAGUAGAGGAGGAAAAUGGAGAAGCAAGAAAAUUCUUACAUAAAACUUUCAAACUUUAGGAGAGGAGAAACUUUAUAUUUCUUAUAUUGUGAAACCUUAGACACUAGAAGCUGUGAAAAGAAAUUUUCCAACUGAGUUUUAGCAGAAUCUAAAGACUGGUGAACCUUUAUGAAAAAAUAUGUUUGGUUGUAGCAGUGAAACUUAACAAGAAUAUAGGCUGCUCAUUAAAUACGCUGCCUGCCUGUGUUCAAAAUUGAAGGGUGUCUUUCUAAAGUUAUACCAUGCUUCAGUGUCAUUCCAAUGUAUUUUCUUAGUCCUUGACAUUUAAUUAUUCACAACUGCUUUUUACUGCCUCAUUUAUAUUACCAUCAUGAAUGUAAUAUUAUCAUGCAAUUAAAUGGCAUAAUAUCUUGCAAAACUCACUGUCUGCCAAGUAGGUUCUAGAUACUGGUUAAAACAGUUGAGUUGGCAAUCAAUGGAACAUUAAAGUAUUUUAUGGGAAUUAAGAAACACAAGAUAUAUUGAAUUUCAAUGGCUGCUAGCUGAAUCCUCUAACUCCUUUGUAAAGCUUGUUAGCCCAGUAUCCAAAUUAAGUCUCCAGCUCUAAAGUCAGACUUCAGAAGCAAAAUCACAUCAGCUGCACUUAAGAAAAACAAGAGGAGAAAAUAAGAGGUAAAGCAAAUUCAAGUAGGUCAGCUUGAAAUCUUUAGGUGGUCUUUGAAUUUGUUUAAAAGAAAGAAGAAUUACAUUACACACAAAAGAAGGGGAUAAAGUAUAGUAUGUAAAUUUAAAAUGCUGCUUUUCAGGCUUCUGGUUUAUUAUCUGGCAGGUUGGAGCUCAGAAGUCUCCACUUUGUUCUAAUAACAAGUGAAAAACUGACUUUAUCAUAGGAUGUUUUUCUCUCCACACACCUUGCCAUUGCAGUACUAAAUGUCUGUUCACCUCAGUUCCUGUACCAAGUAUACCAUGUCCACCUUGCAACAAAAAUUACAGGGCAUACUACAAGGAAAAAAACACAGUUUGAAGAAACUGAACAAGUACCAGAAUCAGAGUCUGAUAUGGCAGGAAUGUUAGAAUUAUCAGCCCGGAAACUUUACAAAUAUGUACAUAAGUAAUAUGCUAAGGGUAUUAAUGAAAAAGUACAUAACAUGCAAGAACAGAUGGAUAAUAUAAGCUGAGGAAAGAUCUUUGAGUAUAUAACAAUAGAAACUGCCAAAACUCAAAAGCAAACAGAAAAAAAAGACUGGGGAAAAAAAAAGAACAGAGUGUCUAAGAACUGUGAGACAACUACAAAAUGUGUAUCAAGGGGCAGAGGGAGGAAUUAAGAAUAUUUUGUUAUUAUAAAACACAUGCACUUUGUGAAGUGCUAUGGUGUUAUCAGAAGGUGGACUUGGAGUAGUUGUAAAUGUAUAUCGAAAACUCUAGGGCAACCAUUAAACAAGUAAAAGAAAUACAGCACACUUAGUGGUGAGAAACUCAAAACUUUCCCUGUAGGAUCAGGAACAAAGCAAAGAAUGUUACCGCUUUUUUUUUUUAACAUUGCACUGAAAGUACAGCUAAUGUAAUAAGACAGGAAAAAAAAACACAAAAAGUAUACACAUUGGUAAGAAAAAAAAUACAACUGUCUUUGCAGAGUAUAAUCCUCUCUGUAGAAAAUCUAAAAGAUUUGGCAAGAAAAUUCUUGGAGUAAGCAAUUAUAGUAAGGUUUCAGGAUUCAAGGUUAAUAUACAAAAGUCAAUUGCAUUUCUAUAUACCAGCAAUGAACAAGUAAAAUUUGAAAUUAAAAACACAAUACCAUUUACAUUAGUACCCUGAACAUUGAAAAUAGCAAAAAUCCAACAAAUUAUAUGUAAGAUCUAUACAAGAAAACUUACAAGACUCAUGAAAGAUAUGAAAGAGCUAAAUAAAUGGAGAGAUAUUCCCUAUUUAUGAAUGAAGAGUCAACAUUGUCAAGAUGUCAGUUCUUCCCAACUCAUCUAUAGAUUAAAUGAAAUCUAGAUAAAAAUCUCA
ensembl:lincRNA